UCCCUGGUGGCUCAGAGGUUAAAGCAUCUGCCUGCAAUGUGGGAGACCUGGGUUCGAUCCCUGGGUUGGGAA
rfam:Ovis aries breed Texel chromosome 1, whole genome shotgun sequence.